UAAAACGGGAUGGGAACCGCCUUCCGUUCUCUUCUUCUUCAUGUUCUCCAUGAGGUGGAAACCAACCUGAAAUUUUACAAUGGUUAAACCAGUUAUGGCUCAAUCAAACCACUCCCAGUGUGGACGACUGCAUCCAAAACCGGUUUUCAUUUUUGGAUGACACAGAACCCAAAGCAGAGGAACAACAUCACUUAAAUGUGACCAUGACUGAAAAACAAGUGGCCAGAUGACCUUCACUGGUGUGAAGACAUCACUCAGGCUCAUGAGGUGAAGUUCUUCAGGCUGUCUGGGCUCCAUGGAUGCCUUCCUAGUUUCAAAGGUGUGAGGAUGUGUUGGACCAGAGGAAGUCUGGACCUGCUGCAGGCCCUGGAAGAAGAAACGUGUAGACUGUCAUGUAAAUGAUUUGUGCAAAGAUGGAACUGUUUAAAGAGAAAUAAAAGUUUAAAAACAUGAA